ensembl:lncRNA
GUACAUCAAUAGAGUGAUAAGAAGAAAACGCUCUCCGGUGCUGUGCUCUGUAAAUAUCACAAAUCACACAGUGGGAACCUGCGAGCAAGGCACACACUUCCACGCCGGUCAAUCUCAUUAGCGCGAACGUGAUGCGUAUGUGUUGUCAUGGAAGGUGAGGACGUUUUACCGUCUAGGGAACAUCAGAAAAUGUGAAAAUGAAUUUCGUUCCUGACCAAAAUUUGAUGUUAUAGACUCAAAAAAAUGAAGAAUAAAGACUAUAUAGACAGAAAAUACAAUUUUUGUUAUUACUAUUUUUUUUUUUUUCCAAUUCUGAAUGAAUAGUCCUAGACGUCUCGUCUCGUCUGUGCUGUCGUGUCAGGUUUUGUAACUUCUCGGAUACGGAUUUAUAUUUUUCCUCGGAGCACUGAAACCUAAUCUGUUGUGAAAUUGUUGAUACUGCUCAACGUGACAAAACGACCCCCCCCCCAGGAGUAACGAUUCACUUUAUAUGAGCCCUUAGGCAAAUUGACGUUGUGCCGAUCGUACACGCGCCAAACGGGCUCGUUUCCAGGCUCUACGUUUCACUAAACACUAUAAAGAUGAAUGUUAGUGCAGUCUUGGUAAGAACAUACUGUCACUCUGCUGUAACAUACGUAAUGAAUAUGCAACGGAUUGCAGAUACUAAAGCGGUGAUCAAAUAUACUGGUGGUGUAUUUGACGUGAUUGAGGUUUACGUCCAGCUUUGAGUAAUGUUUUUUGUUAUUCUUUUCCCCCACACUGUGUUAACCAGGUAGUAAAAAAAAUCACAGCCAACGUAUUUCGAGGAAUGAAAAUGAAUUAGGCAAACGAACAGAGUUGUUCCCUGGUAAUCAUUUUAAAAGUUCUGCUGCCAGUAAAUAAAAUGCAGAGUGCUCAGAUAUGAAAUGAAGCUCUUCGGACAAAAGAGAACCCACUUUCGUUAGCGUGGAAGAGUACGGGGUGCUCACACUGAGCUGCACACGGAGCUGCGCACGGAGCUGCUGGUGUUGGUUGGGGGUUGGUCAGAAUUCCUUCAGGAGGAGAGGAGAGGUGGGGUUUUUUGGUCAGAAUUCCUUUGGGAGUGAGUGGGACUGGUCAAAAUGUGAUCAUUUUAUUUGAUUUCUAUUGUUCUUUUAAUAAUACAGUCACAAAGCAGCUUUACAGGGAUUAGUCAGAGUUCCUUUGCGAGAAGGCAGGAUUGGUCAGAAAUCCGUCUUGAGAGGUGGGAUUAAUCAGAAUUCCUUUAUGAGAGCAGGUGGGAUCAGUCAGAAUUCCUUUACGAGAGCAGGUGGAAUCAGUCAGAAUUCCUUUACGAGUGCAGGUGGAAUCAGUCAGGAUUCCUUUGCGAGUACAGGUGGGAUCAGUCAGGAUUCCUAUGGCAGAGCAGGUGGGAUCAGUCAGAAUUCCUUUGCGAGAGCAGGUGGGAUCAGUCAGAAUUCCUAUGGCAGAGCAGGUUGGAUCAGUCAGAAUUCCUUUGCGAGUACAGGUGGGAUCAGUCAGGAUUCCUAUGGCAGAGCAGGUGGGAUCAGUCAGAAUUCCUUUGCGAGAGCAGGUGGGAUCAGUCAGAAUUCCUUUGCAAGAGCAGGUGGGAUCAGUCAGAAUUCCUUUGCAAGAGCAGGUGGGAUCAGUCAGAAUUCCUUUGCAAGAGCAGGCGGGAUCAGUCAGAAUUCCUUCAAGAGAACGUGGGAGCAGGAUUUAAAAAAAAGAAAGGAAAGAAACAACAGUUUAAUGCACACCUCUACACCAUAGUAACUCAUGCGGCGUGUUUUGUAUCAUUAUCCUGCAACAUGAAGUGACCUCAAGUUUAGAGUUUGUUUAUUAUUCGAUAUUUGGCCUUUUUAAUGGGGGAAGUCCUUAGAUCAUUUUUUGUGUAAUUUGAGAGUGUUUUUUUCAUUCUAGAACAUGAUGACCUGCUUUACUUUCACUUUUUAUUUUAUUUUUUUCCUGCUGCGGAUAAACAGCAACAGAACCCGGAUUCACGCGUCACUUCUAGAGUCUAGGUCUUGUUUUAAGCUCUGUUGUACACGAACAGACUGUACACUGACGCACAACUAGCCAAAAUACCACCACCAAACCAAAUGUACAUUUCCUUUUGAGUCUCCUGAAAUAAACUGAGUGUACCCUAUAUGACUUGUGAGGCUUCUAAUGAAUGAAUUUUUUUUU